UUUGUGAGAGUCCUGUGCGGCCCUUACAUUCCUGUUGUCUGUGAUAUGGAGGUUGGUUCAGAAAACAGCAUAGCCUGGGUCUCUGUUGCCGGUUCCGUCUCAGAGGGAGCGAACCUGAGCUGGGUGGGAAGGCUGAAGCUGCUGCUUGGACCUGCCAUGCUGUACCGGCUGGGACAGGACCUCGAACGAAAGUACACUUGAACAUAGAUUAGAAUUGCCCGAGUAAGAAGGAUCCAGCCACAGGACUGAGAAGACCUUGGAACUUGGACCCUUCCCUAUUAAAUCCUUUGAAGUUCAGCAAUGACCAUCACCUGUGAGUCCCAAGACA